GACGAACGCUGGCGGCGUGCCUAACACAUGCAAGUCGAGCGAAGCGGGGACGGGUGAGUAACAUGUCGAUAACCUCCUAUAAGACUGGGAUUACCUACGGAAACCGGAGCUAAACCGGAUACUUACAGAUGGAUCCCCGUUGCAUUAGCUAGUUGGUAAGGUAACGGCUUACCAAGGCAACGAUGCAUAGCCGACCUGAGAGGAGGAUCGGCCACACUGGAACUGAGACACGGUCCAGACUCCUACGGGAGGCAGCAGUAGGGAAUCUUCCGCAAUGGGCGAAAGCCUGACGCAGCAACGCCGCGUGAGUGAUGAAGGUCUUCGGGUCGUAAAACACUGUUAUUAGGGAAGCGGUACCUAAUCAGAAAGCCCCGGCUAACUACGUGCCAGCCGCCGCGGUAAUAC
rnacentral:rRNA from 1 species